ACGAAACUAUUUUUCAAGUGCAAGUCGAAGACUUUUUUAAUUGGGAUUAGAGCAAGCUUCAGACACACUUGAAGUAGAUCUUGAGCUACGAUUUACAAUAAUGAAGUCCAAGAAAAAGAGGUUGUUCUAUCCCCCGUCCACCUUUAGAUAAUUAAAGCAUCAAAUUCAAACCAUGACAAUGAUGUUCCUUUCAACAACCAAGAGGAAGCGUUCAACCAAAUGUUG
rnacentral:lncRNA from 1 species